rnacentral:lncRNA from 7 species
GGGUUGUGCUGAGGUGAGUCAACCAGGUGGGAGAGAGGAACAGGACCAUCCAAAAGGCAGGGGGGGAUAUGGAGGCUGCACUUCUCAGCACGGUGCUGCUCUCCUGGAUGCCCAGCUCCCUGCUGAGCUCCCGGGGUUGGUUCUUAGAUUCAGCAGCUCAUUCACAACAAACAUCACUGCUCUUUGAUGUAUUGCUGGUGGUGCUGCUGUGGUGUGUUAAAUCCUUUGGUUUCGUGCUCGUAAUAAGAAAACUGGCCGCAGAGACUUACUGUAAGUUGAUGAGAAAGUAGCAAUAAUUAUUGCUCUCUCCUCCAUGGGAGGGUAAACCUUCAGAUGCUAAUGGGCUCUGGAGCAUUGACUGAUUACUCACAUUGGGGUGAAACAGCAAGGAGAAAUAGCCUUCAUUCUCCUCAGGGAUAGGGCAAUAAGCAUCCAAACCGCACGUGGAUGGCUGCAGAGUGUGAUUUGGGGCUAAAAGGUGUAAGAGUUUUCUAAUACAGGGCAAGGGACAGGGCAGGUGUAUUCCUGGAGUGGAUGAAGGGAAGAUGCUGCAAGGUAUUUAUGCAUGGCCCAGUCUGGCAGCGUGCACACAACAGCAAGUGGGUGGCUCUCAGCUUUGCAGCAACAGCUGUCUGAGCCCGGAUCUGAGUGGAUACAAAUCCCUCCCUGCUUUUCCAAGGCGCUGACGUGACACUGAACUUCAGGUUUUGAGUUUGCAGGCACGGCUGAGGCAUUUUAAUGGAAAUUUCCUCCCAGUAAAAAGGCUGCAGCACACAUACCAGAAACUCUUGGCCCGGAUCGUUAACAUUCACUAAAACUAUAAGCAACCCAGUGGGAGCAUUGAGCUGCGAGGCAUGCUUCGUCUCCCUACAGCUCAGCACGGAGACUGCAAAUAUGGGGCAGCACUUCAGAUGUACAAACAGCAAAGUCAGAAGAGGACAACACCAGUGCAGCCUUGGUUUGGCCACCAGGGCCUGUCCCACAGUCUUUAAGAUGUGCUUAAUCCUCUCAGCUGCCCCUCGUGGCCACUCAUCUCCAGCCACCCCACACUGUUCCCAUGUCCUCUGCUGAUGGUGAAUCUCUGAAUGCUGUCCUCUCUCCUGUGCUCCUUGGCUGCUUUCUGUAUUCACAUGGGGGCCAGCAUCAGAUCUUCCAUUCCCAGGUCACAUUCAGGGUCUGUUUGUGCCUCAGUUCCACUGCAGGAGCACAGCAUUGCUGGCAAGGUGCUGGGCACUGGAAGGAGCUCGUUUCCCUUGCUUUGGGAGGGUACCAGGAGGAAAACCGAUCCCAUUUAUGCCACGCCAACUUUACAAGGAAGGACAGCCUUGAAUUCCCCCUCACACCCUGUGAGCACUGCUGAAACCUGCAUCCAGGAACCCACAGCUGCACAGAGGAUGGAUGGACGCAUCUUCAUCCCUGCUAUCCUCCAGCACGGACACAGCACUGCGCCACACUGCAAUGCUGGGCUGCACACUGCUGGACCCGAAGUGACCCCGGUUGGAUGGGGAAGCUGAUCCCAGGUCUGAGCUGAGCAGAGCACAGCCCUUCAAGACUGGACGUGUUCCAAGGGUUAUUUGUGCCCGCUGACCUCACGGCACUUUGCCUUCCAGCCCCUGCUGGGGUCCUCCUGUCUUUUUGCAUAAUCUCCUCUUAAGAAAUAGCAGGAGAGGGGCCUUCUUUGCAGCUUUUGUCCAGGAGAGCCGCCUUGCUGCACGGUUCCACCUUGAGAACCCCCCUCUCUUUUUGUGCCGGAGCUGAACCGUUUCUUUUCUCCCCUCUUUGCACCUCUUAACUUUCUCUCCUUCUCCACUCUGAUUUCUUUGCACCAUUAUUAUCCUGAAAAGUAUUUUGAGGACACAGUUUGUCCGACGCAAGGCUGUGACAAUGCAAGGGCUACAACUGUUAGCGUGGAUUAAAGCAGUGCUUUCUAU